GACGAACGCUGGCGGCGUGCUUAACACAUGCAAGUCGAACGAUGAACCCGGAGCUUGCUCCGGCGGAUUAGUGGCGAACGGGUGGGUAACACGUGAGUAACCUGCCCUUGACUCUGGGAUAACUGCGGGAAACUGUAGCUAAUACCGGAUACGACCCUCGGCGGCAUCGCCAGGGGGUGGAAAGAAUUUCGGUCAAGGAUGGAAUCGCGGCCUAUCAGCUAGUUGGUGAGGUAACGGCUCAACAAGGCGACGACGGGUAGCCGGCCUGAGAGGGUGACCGGCCACACUGGGACUGAGACACGGCCCAGACUCCUACGGGAGGCAGCAGUGGGGAAUAUUGCACAAUGGGCGCAAGCCUGAUGCAGCAACGCCGCGUGAGGGAUGACGGCCUUCGGGUUGUAAACCUCUUUUAGUAGGGAAGAAGCGAAAGUGACGGUACCUGCAGAAAAAGCACCGGCUAACUACGUGCCAGCCGCCGCAGUAA
rnacentral:rRNA from 1 species